rnacentral:tRNA from 1 species
GGUACUGUAUCUCAGUGGUAGAGGUCAUGCUUUGAAUGUGUGAUGUCCUGGGUUCAAUCCCCAGCUUCUCCC